rnacentral:misc_RNA from 1 species
GAAAUGCGAUACUUGGUGUGAAUUGCAGAAUUCAGUGAAUCAUCGAAUCUUUGAACGCACAUUGCGCCCCUUGGUAUUCCAUGGGGCAUGCCUGUUCGAGCGUCAUUUGUACCUUCAAGCUAUGCUUGGUGUUGGGUGUCUGUCUCUGCUUUUGUGCCUAGACUCGCCCUAAAUACAUUGGCAGCUAAUAUAUUUGUUUCAAGCGCAGCACAAUUUGCCUUGGAGCCUAUUGAUAUUCGCUUCCAUUAAGACUAUUUAACACUUUUGACCUCGGAUCAGGUAGGGAUACCCGCUGAACUUAA